rnacentral:rRNA from 1 species
UGCCUGUAAGACUGGGAUAACUCCGGGAAACCGGAGCUAAUACCGGAUAACAUUUUCUCUUGCAUAAGAGAAAAUUGAAAGAUGGUUUCGGCUAUCACUUACAGAUGGGCCCGCGGUGCAUUAGCUAGUUGGUGAGGUAACGGCUCACCAAGGCAACGAUGCAUAGCCGACCUGAGAGGGUGAUCGGCCACACUGGGACUGAGACACGGCCCACACUCCUACGGGAGGCAGCAGUAGGGAAUCUUCCGCAAUGGACGAAAGUCUGACAGAGCAACGCCGCGUGAGUGAUGAAGGCUUUCGGGUCGUAAAACUCUGUUGUUAGGGAAGAACAAGUACAAGAGUAACUGCUUGUACCUUGACGGUACCUAACCAGAAAGCCACGGCUAACUACGUGCCAGCAGCCGCGGUAAUACGUAUGUGGCAAGCGUUAUCCGGAAUUAUUGGGCGUAAAGCGCGCGCAGGCGGUUUCUUAAGUCUGAUGUGAAAGCCCACGGCUCAACCGUGGAGGGUCAUUGGAAACUGG